ACCACCUCGUGACUAUAGCUUUAGAUGUCAACUUCUUCCUCUGCUUCUUCUCUCCUUCUCUUGGCAAAUAUCUCUUUACUCCAGUACUCCUUAUCUAGUUUUCUAUAUCCCCUCUUUACUCUCUUUGUACUGGACAGAGCUUCUUUUCUUGCCGCAGAAAGCAGGACUUCCUUUGAAGGGUCAAAGUGGUUACUGGAGAAAUAGCUCCUUCUAGCAGAAUCAUUAUUCUUCUCCACUCCUAGAAAGGUUUGAUAGAGCCGUAUCGUCUCAUCAUUGCUGGUAUGUGACUGACCAUCAAGUGCAUAUAUGGAGUGAUGUUACUUUUCGAAUGCCCGUCCAGAGGAAUUGACGUAAAAUCAUUAAUCCAUCUUUUGGUCUAAAGGAAGCACUUCAACUAAUGAAUUGUAUACACUUGUUGUAUGGCUGGGCCAUUGUUUGGUACAAUGCCUGGUAUAAAUGGAGGGAGUUUAAGCAAAAGUUUCUUCGUAUCUGCUCCUCGAAGAGAUGUCCACUGUACUUCUCCUUUAGUAUCCUUAGAACGCCAGAUCUAUAAUUAUUUUCAAAAUGAGGAGCUUUGCUGUCUGUUUCGACUCAUCUUUGUGAAUUCGCAUAUCUGCUGUCAUUGCUGCCAUAACAACGUUCCUGAUUAGUGCAUCACUUAUCCGAAGCAAACAAACAAGCAUAAUUUGAGUGUGCUGCAUUUAAUCCCAUCAUUAAGAGCAAAAACUUAAAUGUCUCCUCCAAAAAUAAUAUCAAGCGUAACAUCAAUUCCAUUUACUUCAAUGACACUCUUUUCAAUUAAGUCAUUGAUAUCAUCAAUCACUGGAGCAAAACCUUCCUUAAGUGUCUUAUAACCUUCGUUGCCGGACAACAUGGCAAAGAUGAGAGAGAAUUGUUGUCAACAAAAGGAAGGCUGAAAGACAAUAAAAUGUAUGAAGAUGAGCGAUAGAAUGGAGCUCCAUCUCCACUAAUCUUAACAGUAACUUUUGACGUAAUAUGAUCAUCCU